rnacentral:rRNA from 1 species
AGCGAACGCUGGCGGCAGGCCUAACACAUGCAAGUCGAACGAACCUUUCGGGGUUAGUGGCGGACGGGUGAGUAACACGUGGGAACGUGCCUUUAGGUUCGGAAUAACUCAGGGAAACUUGUGCUAAUACCGAAUGUGCCCUUCGGGGGGAAGAUUUAUCGCCUUUAGAGCGGCCCGCGUCUGAUUAGCUAGUUGGUUGAGGUAAUGGCUCACCAAGGCGACGAUCUGUAGCUGGUCUGAGAGGAUGAUCAGCCACAUUGGGACUGAGACACGGCCCAAACUCCUACGGGAGGCAGCAGUGGGGAAUCUUGCGCAAUGGGCGAAAGCCUGACGCAGCCAUGCCGCGUGAAUGAUGAAGGUCUUAGGAUUGUAAAAUUCUUUCACCGGGGACGAUAAUGACGGUACCCGGAGAAGAAGCCCCGGCUAACUUCGUG